rnacentral:rRNA from 1 species
GCCCUGGCAGUCAGAGGCGAUGAAGGACGUGCUAAUCUGCGAUAAGCGUCGGUAAGGUGAUAUGAACCGUUAUAACCGGCGAUUUCCGAAUGGGGAAACCCAGUGUGAUUCGUCACACUAUCAUUACGUGAAUACAUAGCGUAAUGAAGCGAACCGGGGGAACUGAAACAUCUAAGUACCCCGAGGAAAAGAAAUCAACCGAGAUUCCCCCAGUAGCGGCGAGCGAACGGGGAGCAGCCCAGAGUCUGAAUCAGCUUGUGUGUUAGUGGAACGGUCUGGAAAGUCCGACGGUACAGGGUGAUAGUCCCGUACACCAAAAUGCACAGGUUGUGAACUCGAAGAGUAGGGCGGGACACGUGGUAUCCUGUCUGAAUAUGGGGGGACCAUCCUCCAAGGCUAAAUACUCCUGACUGACCGAUAGUGAACCAGUACCGUGAGGGAAAGGCGAAAAGAACCCCGGCGAGGGGAGUGAAAAAGAACCUGAAACCGUGUACGUACAAGCAGUGGGAGCCUCUUUAUGGGGUGACUGCGUACCUUUUGUAUAAUGGGUCAGCGACUUAUAUUCUGUAGCAAGGUUAACCGUAUAGGGGAGCCGAAGGGAAACCGAGUCUUAACUGGGCGUUAAGUUGCAGGGUAUAGACCCGAAACCCGGUGAUCUAGCCAUGGGCAGGUUGAAGGUUGGGUAACACUAACUGGAGGACCGAACCGACUAAUGUUGAAAAAUUAGCGGAUGACUUGUGGCUGGGGGUGAAAGGCCAAUCAAACCGGGAGAUAGCUGGUUCUCCCCGAAAGCU